rnacentral:rRNA from 1 species
UAUUAUUUAAAAUGUAAUAAAUAUGCCUAAGUAGUAAUAGUUAUGUUCUUGAAACUUAAAAAAUUUGGCGGUAUUUUAGUCUAUCCAGAGGAACCUGUUUUGUAAUCGAUAAUCCACGAUGGACCUUACUUAAAUUUGUUGUCAGUUUAUAUACCGUCGUUAUUAGAAUAUUUUAUAAGAAUAAGAAUAUUCAAUAAUUUUUAUUAAAAUUUAUAUCAGAUCAAGGUGUAGCUUAUAUUUAAGUAAUAAUGGGUUACAAUAAAUAUAUUUAAACGAAUAAAAUUAUGAAAAAAUUUUUGAAGGUGGAUUUGGUAGUAAAAUUAUAAAGAUUAUUAAUUUGAUUUUAGCUCUAAAAUAUGUACACAUCGCCCGUCGCUCUUAUUAUUAAGGUAAGAUAAGUCGUAACAUAGUAGAUGUACUGGAAAGUGUAUCUAGAAUGA